rnacentral:rRNA from 1 species
AGACAAGCACCGGCGGACGGCUCAGUAACACGUGGACAACCUGCCCUCGGGAGGGGGAUAACCCCGGGAAACUGGGGCUAAACCCCCAUAGGAGAUGGAUACUGGAAUGUUCCAUCUCCGAAAGUCCGCAAGGAGCCCGAGGAUGGGUCUGCGGCGGAUUAGGUAGUUGGUGGGGUAACGGCCUACCAAGCCUAAGAUCCGUACGGGCCAUGGGAGUGGGAGCCCGGAGAUGGACCCUGAGACAAGGGUCCAGGCCCUACGGGGCGCAGCAGGCGCGAAACCUCCGCAAUGCGGGAAACCGCGACGGGGUCAGCCGGAGUGCCGAUGCUUGCAUCGGCUGUCGGGGAGCCUAAAAAGCUCCCCAUAGCAAGGGCCGGGCAAGGCCGGUGGCAGCCGCCGCGGUAAUACCGGCGGCCCGAGUGGCGGUCACUAUUAUUGGGCUUAAAGCGUCCGUAGCCGGGUUGGGAAGUCCUCCGGGAAAUCUGGCCGCUUAACGGUCAGAAUGCCGGAGGAUACUCCCAGCCUAGGGAGCGGGAGAGGCCGAGGGUAUUCCCGGAGUAGGGGUGAAAUCCUAUAAUCCCGGGAGGACCACCUGUGGCG